rnacentral:rRNA from 1 species
AUUGAACGCUGGCGGCAGGCCUAACACAUGCAAGUCGAGCGAGCGGCGGACGGGCGAGUAAUGUAUUGGGACUGCCUGAUAGAGGGGGAUAACUACUGGAACCGGUAGCUAAUACCGCAUACUAUCGGAUAACCCAUAUGGGAUUAGCUAGUAGGUGGGGUAAUGGCUCACCUAGGCGACGACCCCUAGCUGGUCUGAGAGGAUGCUCAGCCACACGGGGACGGUGACACGGCCCGUACUCCUACGGAGGCAGCAGAGGGGAAUAUUGCACAAUGGGCGCAAGCCUAAUGCAGCCAUGCCGCGUGGAUGAGGAGGGCCCUAGGGUUGUAAAGUACUUUCAGUCGGGAGGCGGUACCGACAGAAGAAGCACCGGCUAACUCCGUGCCAGCAGCCGCGGUAAUAC